GAAAAAAAAAAAAAGAAUCUCCUGAUUUUUAAAAAAAAUUGACCAUGCUCCUCCCGGCCAUGUUCCCUGAGACGCUAAUUAAAGUGUUCUUGUUAUCAGAGGAGUGAUGCUGACCCUUCAGGGAAGCAGGUUUGGAUAGUUUCUCUGACUCGUGUCCAGUGUGGGUUGUGCUGAACUUACUGUCCUUGACUGUAUGUGGCCCUAUCUGAAAGUGGCCCUAGCUCUGGCCGCCAGAGUCGGCCUCCUGCCUGCCUGGGAGAGUCUCUUGCUCCCAGUGCACCACCCACCACGCCUCAGCCCCGGGGGACGCAGGCUGGCCCAGGACAUGCUCCGAAGCCACGUCCAUCCCGGCGUCCACUCGUGCCCCCGGCCUCCUGGUCAGCUCCGUCCCCCACCACCUGAUUGCAGCUGCUUCUGCACAGGUGGCUGCGGACACCAGGCCCACGGCCCUGCACAGCCUCCAGAUGUUGGAGGUGGCAGUGCCCUUGUGGAGCGCCACCCUUGGGCACCCAGGUGAGCUCCGUGAGCUCUGGCCUCAGCUCAUCCUCGUCACUUGCUGGCCAGGCCCUCCCAGGUCUCUCCUACUAAAUAACCACCCAGCCGAAGACGUCGCAGCUGGAGCGUCUGCCGCCCGAGGUGGGAGCCGGGGUCCCGGACGCAGGUGGCUGGUGGACAGGCUAAAACUGGCUCGUGGGCCCUCGCCACCCACUCAAGCCAGCAGGGUCGGCCCGGGGUUACGGUGAGCGCAUAGUGGGUCAGCGGUGGAGCCAAGGAACCUUGAGGCCCUGCCUGGAAGUUGCGCACUGUCCCUGAUGUGCCACAUGCUGGGGUCACAACGGGUGACAAGGCCAGCUUGACUGGGGAUGCUGAGAGCCUCCGCUCCAGCAGCCACAGGCUGGGAGCCUGCGUGGGCUGGGGGAAGAGGAAGGUUCCGGUGGCUCCACCCUGAGACUUCCUGUCUUCUGAUCUCAUCCAAUCCACGACUUCAGUGCGUCCGGAACCAUCAGCGGAAGGACAUCUUCCCAGAGCUCCGUGCACCUGCCCGGCAUUCCCACCCGAUGGAGGUGGCCUGACUGCAGCGGCACAGGAACCCCACGGAAGGUUUUCCAUUGCCCCACCCCACCCCGCCCCCGUUCCUCUCCCAGUCUCCCCCAGCCCAGGAAUUGCUUCUGCCAUCCUCUGGUUACUCAGAGAGACCGUCUGCAAGUCCCGUGAGUGUGAGCUUUGAAACGCUGGGAUGCAUGUACAUCUCUCCAUCUCAACCCCUGCUGCCCUCGUCUUGAGCACCACCUGUGGUCAGCUGAAGGGUGGCCCGUCCACAGGUGUGCCCACAUCCUAAUCCCUGGGACCUGUUACUAUUACUGCGACCUUGUUCGGAUAAAGGAUCUCUGCAAGUGCAAUUGAGUUGAAGCUUUGGGGAUGAGGACAUCAUUGUGGACUGUCCAGGAGGAGACACAAACAGAAAAGGGGAACGAUGCAGCCACAAACCAAGGAACGCCUGAAUCCGCCAGGAGUGGGAAGAGGCAAGGAUCCACUGGAGCCUUUGGAAGGAUCAAAGCCCUGCCAACACCUUAGUUUUGAAUUCUGGCCUCCAGAACUCUUACAGAAGAAAUUCUUACUGUUUGAGACCACCCAGUUCCUGGUGGUUCAUCACAGCAACCACAGGAAACUACUUUGCCCUCAUUUCUCACCUGGACUACUUCACCAGACUCCCUGCUGAUCUCCCAACUGUUUUGUUUUUUGUUUUAUUUUGUUAAUCUCCCAGAUUUUAGUCCUUUUCAUACUUCCCACAACCCAUACCACCACAUAAAUGAUUUUUUUUUUUGAGACACAGUCUCACUCUGCAGCCCGGGCUAAUCC